rnacentral:rRNA from 1 species
GAUCAUGGCUCAGGAUGAACGCUAGCUACAGGCUUAACACAUGCAAGUCGAGGGGCAGCAUUGGAGUAGCAAUACUCAGAUGGCGACCGGCGCACGGGUGAGUAACACGUAUCCAACCUGCCGCUUACUCGGGGAUAGCCUUUCGAAAGAAAGAUUAAUACCCGAUGGUAUAAAGAGUUCGCAUGUUCUCUUUAUUAAAGAAUUUCGGUAAGCGAUGGGGAUGCGUUCCAUUAGAUAGUUGGCGGGGUAACGGCCCACCAAGUCUACGAUGGAUAGGGGUUCUGAGAGGAAGGUCCCCCACAUUGGAACUGAGACACGGUCCAAACUCCUACGGGAGGCAGCAGUGAGGAAUAUUGGUCAAUGGACGAGAGUCUGAACCAGCCAAGUAGCGUGAAGGAUGACUGCCCUAUGGGUUGUAAACUUCUUUUAUAAGGGAAUAAAGUGAGGGACGUGUCCCUUUUUGUAUGUACCUUAUGAAUAAGGAUCGGCUAACUCCGUGCCAGCAGCUGC